rnacentral:lncRNA from 1 species
GAGCCACCUGUAGCGGAGGAAACAGCGUCUGCACCGUUAUAUUCACCGUCACACCGGCAGGACACGGGGCUUCUUCACCGUCCUCCUGAGGCGUUUUACAACCAAACACUUAAAAGAUGUUUCUCAGUUAUCUGCAUGUCGUGUUUCUCCUGGGCGCUGUCGUCAAAGGAAUGACAACAACAGAUUCCAUCACGACUAAUGUCACCACCGAAGAGAUAUCCACCACUCCUGCAACUUCCUACAUGAAUGUAACUGCAAGCUCAAAUACAAGCAGCAAUCAGUCAACCAGCAGUUUUCCAACUUCACCGCUAUCGACCACAGAGCCCUUCACAGCCUCAGUAGCUACAACAACUAUAGAAAGUGCCACAGCAGAAUCUACAACUCUAAAACCGUCCACCACCAAAGGAGAGACGACAUUCUCCCAGUCCAGCACUGAGUCCAGGAACACUACAGCAGCAGUCAACACCACCGGCAGCUUCACCACUGGCAGCCCAACUGACUCGCCAUCAGCUCCAACCAGCGGUACAACGCUGUCCACUGCAAUCCCAGAGACAAGCCAACCCACCAUCACUAGUGAGACUACAAAUACAGCCACCACACCUGCUCCAGAUCACACACUGACUCCAACUACACCGAUCACACACACAAGCAACGACACAUCUACCAUUACACCAAUCACAAGCAACGACACAACUACCAUUACACCAAUCACUAGCAACGACACAUCUACCAUUACACCAAUCACAAGCAACGACACAACUACCAUUACACCGAUCACAAGCAACGACACAACUACCAUUACACCAAUCACCAGCAACGACACAUCUACCAUUACACCGAUCACAAGCAACGACACAACUACCAUUACACCAAUCACCAGCAACGACACAUCUACCAUUACACCGAUCACAAGCAACGACACAUCUACCAUUACACCAAUCACAAGCAACGACACAUCUACCAUUACACCAAUCACAAGCAACGACACAACUACCAUUACACCAAUCACAAGCAACGACACAUCUACCAUUACACCAAUCACAAGCAACGACACAUCUACCAUUACACCAAUCACAAGCAACGACACAUCUACCAUUACACCAAUCACAAGCAACGACACAACUACCAUUACACCAAUCACAAGCAACGAUACAUCUACCAUUACACCAAUCACAAGCAACGACACAUCUACCAUUACACCAAUCACAAGCAACGACACAUCUACCAUUACACCAAUCACAAGCAACGACACAUCUACCAUUACACCAAUCACAAGCAACGACACAUCUACCAUUACACCAAAUACAAGCAACGACACAUCUACCAUUACACCAAUCACAAGCAACGACACAUCUACCAUUACACCAAUCACAAGCAACGACACAUCUACCAUUACACCAAUCACAAGCAACGACACAACUACCAUUACACCAAUCACAAGCAACGACACAUCUGCCAUUACACCAAUCACAAGCAACGACACAUCUACCAUUACACCGAUCACAAGCAACGACACAACUACCAUUACACCAAUCACAAGCAACGACACAUCUACAAUCACACCGACUACACAGUCCAACAACAACACAACCUUCAUUACAGCCACGACACAGCCCAGCAACAUCACAACAACUCCAGCAACCACACAAACCAGCAACGGCACAGCAAGUUCAACUACAGUAACUCCAGAAAACUCUACAGCUGUACUAACUACAACUACACUAAUAAACUCUACUAACACCUCUCCUGAGAGUCCUGCACCCACCAUCACACCCUCAUCCUCCACUAACACCUCAAACCCAACCCUAACACCUGGAACCCCACCCUCUUCCACUACCUCCAUCUCCAGCUCUCUCCCUGCAAGUAAUAGCACUGCUCCCACCACCGGAAAUACCACCACCCUUACUCCCUCAACAACAACCUCAGGAGUGACCGGCCACACCACUGUGGUUCAUUCAACUGAACCAUCUAGUGGCAGUACAACAGCCUCAUCCACCACCAUCACUGGCACCAGCCUGCGACCAACAGAAAUCACCACCAACAACUCCACCACAGCAGCCCCACCCAUCCCUCCAGUCAAAGUUUGUCCUUUCGUCCCGUGCCCACUUCAAAGCGUGUGUCUUAAUGGCACUUGCCAGUGUCUCUCUGGCAGCUACCUGGUGAAUGACCGCUGUGUACAGGGUAAGACCAUAAAAACAUUUCAUGUGUGCUCAGAGAGAGAAAACAGAAAUCAUUACAGGGUGGUGGUGAAACCUUUGCCUUAUUUUCUUCUCUCCUCCCCUUCAUUCAGCCCAAGUGUUCCCAGGCCAGCUUCAUCUCACAUCCUUGACAUUCACAAGUGAAAUGAGCAACAGGUCCUCUGUAAUAUUCCAGAAGACAGCGGCUCAAAUCUCAGCAUCGGUAGGUUGUGAGCUCACAAAAGCAUUUUGAAUUUCUAUAAUACAUUUUCCUCUCUCAGUCCUUAAAUCACAUGCUGCUUCUGUUUCACAGCUCAGAGAUGCCCUCAAAAACCAGCAGGGCUAUAAACAGUCUGAUGUUGUGCAACUUGAGUGAGUAUUUUGUCUUCCUACAGCAAAAAAUAUAUGAUGCCACUUUACAAAAUAUUUUUUUGUAACCUUCUUUGGUGCUUCACUUUUCUUUAGACCGGGAAGUGUGCAAGCAACUGUAAAUAACAUAUUUGAAAACACCAACACAAAUGAAACGUCUGUUGAUGAGGCCAUUCAGAAGGCUAUAGAGAACUCAGCAAAUCCAUUGUUGGCUGAUGCUACAUUUAGAGGUUAGUAGUUGCUGCUACACUGAUUGAUUUUGGAUGAGAACCUGACAUGUAUGAGCAACAGGCUACAUUAUUUCAAGAAGAGGAGGUUUUUCUCAUACACUUGUUUUACAUCUUCUCUGUUUUAGCUACAGACCUGUGUAUGCAGCAGCCAUUACCCUGUGAUGUCUCCACUACAUUGUGCACAAAUAGAAAUGGCCGGCCUGUUUGUUCCUGUAAAGAAGGCUUCAUCUCUAUCCUGUACUCAAACAGCACCUGCAAAGGUAAAAGAGACUAUUAAAUAUUCUUUAUUCAUCUCCUUUAUCAUGACUGGUGUUAGGUUUUUGCAAUUUUGACAAUGUACCUGGCACUAGAG